GUUGACUGCUAUCAUAAGACAGGUCAGCUGACUGCACGUGGUGUCUGCGUACAACCAAUCAAAUUUCUCGCCCUUCCAAUUGUGUAAAUUGACCUUAAAACUAACUGGCGGGAAAUUCAAAUCUCAAAAAAAAACCAAGUGAGCUUAAAGUUCACUUUUCUUCAUGAAGAGAUGGUGAUUCUCCUAAAACUGGUCAUUUUCGGGAGAGAAUUUUUUUUUUUAAGUAACUGAAAUUUUUUUUUAUUAAUUUCUAUUUAUUUUCAUCAAACACAGUAUUUUAGAUUUUCAGUAUAAUUAUUGUUUCAAAAUUUUUAAUCCGUUAAAUUUUAUAAUAAGAAGAAAAAUGCUAUGUAGUACCAGUAUUAGCCGGAAGUGCGUAAUAAGUAAAUUCUUGUACAAAUAACUUUUGCGCAUCUUCGUGCGCAACUUGUUCUGUAUCAUAACCUGCAAUUAUUAUUGUUUUGAUGUUUUCGUGAUUCUGUAUAAACAUGUAAAAAUUGUAUGUAAAUACUUGUUUAAGUUUAUAAAUAAAAUAAUAAAGUAAACCUA